rnacentral:tRNA from 1 species
GAGGGUAUAGCUCAGUGGUAGAUGCCUAGUAUGCAUGAGGUCCUGGGUUCAAGCCCCAGUACCUCCA